UGCCUUAAUGUAUACGACAAAACACGUAAGAGUUAAAAGAAUUACUCAACCAGCAAAAAUAAGAUAACCUGUCUUCCUCAGCAUUUUAAAACACAAAUUAUUGAUCUGCAUAAUUAAGGAAAAUUAAAAACAUAAAAUAAGGAUUGGGUCUCAAAGGAUGACUAAUUAAUAAUAUAUCAAACUGAAAGCUGGGACUACUCUGUUCUGCCAAAUUUUGCCACCGAUUCACUUAUCUUGGGCAAGCUACUCCAUCUUUUUAUACCGCAGGUCCCCAACCUAUGAAGUUGGGUCAAUGAUAAUUACUCUUUUCACAAGACUGUUGUGAGAAUUAAUAUAAUGUAUGCAUCCAACUGGAUAAAAGAGGCUAUAAAAGUUUUAUUAUUUAGUGUUUCCGCAACAUUUGGCAUAAAAUUAUCCAGAUACCAUGUUCAUUACACCUAAAAAAAUUAUGACAUUUACAGGCUGCAAACAUGAAAACAAAUAAUGUUCUUUAAGAUAUUUUUGUAAUUAUAUUUUACACUGUAUUUAUUCUUGGUGUACAAGCUCUUGUUUCAGAGAUGAAGCAUUUUAAAUGCAUAAAUGUUUUGUGCACUUUUCUCUGCAAUGUACUCAGAGUUAAGAAACUGAUGGUUUAAUUAGGGAGGCCUGCUCAGUGGUGUGUAAAGCACUUUAGUUUAUGACAUCAUUGCUUCUGCUCCUAGGAAAAUGUGGUAAAAAUGCUCAGCACUUAAAAAGCUACAACAGGAACACAAUUACAUUUUAAAAUAACCUUUCAAAAUACAGAUAAAUACGUUAUGCUUUAUGUUUAUGCACUGAAACAUGAAACAUUUGGGGGGUUAGUUCUCCUUUAAUUUGGAAACUAGAAUAAAACUCUCCAAAAUACAGAUAUGUCCUUUGCUUAGAUAGUCAACCUACCCCCAUCAGCAUGAAUAUCCAUCUACUAGCCACUAAAACAGACAUAAACCAAAUCAAUGAUCAUCAGUCAGCAACAGAGCCCACUCUCAGAGUUUUACUUUUCCCCCUUAAAAAAGAAAUGAAGAAAGAUUUAGUUCUUCUUUAUACAUAACCUUUUUUUGGGGGGGAGGGAAGGGGGGGGUCAAAUUUCUUGAUUCUAAGUUACCACUGUGGAAGGCGCAUCUCCUUUUGUUAGCAGUUGUCUAACCUAAGCUCCAUGUAAGAAGAAUCUAUCUUCGUUUUACCAUAAUCACCCCCAAGGAAGUAAAUAUUUCUUUGUUUAGCAUCUUUCAGUGGAAAAGGUAACUUGAAGAAAUUUACAAGAUGUUUCCGAGACAUUAAGUAAUGUAAAAUGGGGAAGUGAAACAGCCAGAAGCUAAAUUAAACAAAGAGACAGGAAAGACCUGAGGAUGAGCCCCAGUGUCAUGUCUUGCACUACCAGACUUCUGACUCCAGUGUAAAACAAAACUUACCUGAAAAAUAGACAAACAUACCAUGAACUUUAAGUGGCAAAUCAGCAAUCUCAAAUCUAUGUUUUUGAAGAGAUUGCUCAUAUGAGUAAAGCUACUCAAGUGUAACUGUUUGAAGGAUCAGAUCCUAAAAACAGGAAUGCACUCAAUUUUACUUAGACUUGUGAUUUUGCUUCAUUUUCAUUUGGCUACAAAAAUUAUAUUUACUUUUGAGUACUUUUGUACCCAAAUAGUAGACAAUGAAAUGCGACAUGAAACAGGAACUGCAGUUCCUUCAAUAAAGUGGAGAGACUUGGCAAAUAAGACUUGCUGGAUAUAUUUAGUAAACUAUACAAAAUGAAGAUCACAUUUAUUAGGCUAUGAAAAUGUGACAACAGAUAAACACACUAUGUAUUUUAUUCCACUCUGCCUGUCCACAAAAUAUAUAAGAUACCUUUUAUUUAAUUAAUUUUUGUUUUAUUCCUUAAUCCAUUCAUUGUCUAUUAACAAAGGAAUACAACUUAGUCGUCAGACCAAUACUAAGAGCUGUAAUUCUCAAAUUACAAAAUAUUUCAGAUGAGAACUGAAGUUCACAUAUGUAAACUAUUUGCAAAGGUGCCUUAAAUUCUUAAGAUUAAGCUUUUACCUUUCUUUAAUGAAUGUAAUGCUGAUGUGAAGAAUGUCAAAUAACCAGGAGGCUGAGGUGAAGCAUUGAACUCAAAAUAUCCUAGAACUCCAGGCUGCAAGAAUAAGAAUUAGAGUUAGCUAAGCUAUUACAAAAGUACACAUUUAUGGGACACUGCAAUUAUUUAACUAUAGUAAAAAACAAACAGAUUAAACAUUAAUGGGCUGUUUUGUUUUGGAAAAACAAACUAGCCAUUUUUCUCUGCAAGAAAAGUGGAUCUUAAAGGAGGGGAAAAAAAUCAGCCAAUACUAUAAUUUGGAAAACGUGCACAAGACCAAAUCUGUAUAUAUGCAGAACACUAUAAUUUCAGUGUUACAUAUUUCCUCUGUUAGUGGUUACAUUAUUCUCUAAGCAAAUGGUAAUAAUUUAAAAUACUUGCAGGAGUCAAGCUUCAGCACCACCACGUUGAUGGAAUAUUUCAUUUUCUACAUAGCACCAUACUGCGUUCUUUUGAAAUUGAGAUUUGGGAUUUAAUGUGUCAUUGUACAAUGAAGUCAACUGUAACCCUUUUUCAACAUAAAAUACUUGGUUUUCUUUAAGUUUUUACUAUACUGUGCAUGAUUCACAUCUAUAUAUGAAGCCUCUGCAUGACUGCCAGUCUACAUCACACUGGGAAGCCAUCAGCCAUAUGAGAUUCUUGCAAGGGAAAUCAGUGAGAGACUGAUUUCACAAAAACAAAGGGAAGAAACCCAGAUCCUGGCCCAGGCAACCAGAUAAAACAAUUCAUCACACACUCAACUUGCACUGAUCAGGAGGCAUGUUCCCAGACCUGGAGCUCAGGUGUCGGACUCUUAUUCACACUUCAUUCUCUUGAUAACUGCACUGCUAUCUCGACAAAGAGCUACAAAAGAAACUAAGUCCACACCAGAGGACUACACACACACGGUGAAGAAAGAGAGAGAAAGGCAUUACAGAAUGAGAGAUGCUCAGAGCAAAAGCAGCAGUACCUGCAGCCCACAGGAAGGAACAGCAAGAACCCAAAAGCCAGGAAGAAAUCUUAAACCCUGCAAGAUUCCAUCACCAACUCUAAAGUUUUAGUUGAUACAUGCAGUCUUACAUAAACACUGACAAGGCUUAGGUUAACUUUAUUACUGAAAUUGAUUUUUACUUCAGUAUUGACAUAUUGUUGGAUCUUGACGUUUAUUAAUAGCUUCUUCUGUUAAACUUUGAAUAUCUGAACACCAUAUUCUUGGUAUUGCUGACCAAGCUAAACCUUUUAAUUUAAGAUCUCUGGACUGGGUCUUCAGUUGAUGUAAAUCAGCAUAGCUCUACUGACUUCAAUAGAGCUAUGCUGAUUUAUAACUGAGGAUCCAUCCUCAAUUUUAAUUAACUACCUGUCGCAGAUCACUAAUUAAAUGAAGUGAGGGUUUAAAAGAGAUUUUAAAUUGAGAUUUUAAGCAAAUACUAUUAAAGUGUCUUAUUUUAAAUGACUGAACAAAAGCUCUCCUCUCAGUUACUGAAUUUCAUAGU